AGAGAAUCGCUUGAACCCGGGAGGCAGAGGUUGCAGUGAGCCAAGAUUGACCCACUGCACUCCAGCCUGGGUGACAGAG
rnacentral:snRNA from 1 species